CAGUAGCCGCGGGAAUACAGAGGGUGCGAGCGUUAAUCGGAUUUACUGGGCGUAAAGCGUGCGUAGGCGGCUUCUUAAGUCGGAUGUGAAAUCCCUGAGCUUAACUUAGGAAUUGCAUUCGAUACUGGGAAGCUAGAGUAUGGGAGAGGAUGGUAGAAUUCCAGGUGUAGCGGUUAAAUGCGUAGAGAUCUGGAGGAAUACCGAUGGCGAAGGCAGCCAUCUGGCCUAAUACUGACGCUGAGGUACGAAAGCAUGGGGAGCAAACAGGAUUAGAUACCCCCGUAGUCCCUGUCUCUUAUAC
rnacentral:rRNA from 1 species